rnacentral:lncRNA from 1 species
UUCGCCUCUGGUUCUGGUGGUAACAUAAAUUCGGUAUAUACGUAUCUUUCUACGGUGAAUGUUCCAAGUUCAUCAAAGAUAAAUUUUCUACACGCUAUAAGAAAAAUCAACCGAGCCCUAAAAUAAAGUGCUGAGAAACGAAUUCCUUCUUCGUCUUUGGCGGGCAAUUGGUAGAAUCCUUUGAACUGUGCGACACUCUCGUCCCCACUUCAGGUACUGGGCGAAAAAAAAAAGAAAGAUAAACACCUUUCUCAAGCUUUUUUAAAAAAUAAAUUUUAUGUUUUCCACUAUUUUAUUGCUUAAUUAAGUGUUUUUUGUGCGAUUAUUGUUUGGUUAGAAAAUUUGAAAUAAAACGUGAGAGUUUUUGUAAGAAAAAGCCCCAAGAAAGAAGCUUUUUUUUUUUUUUUGGUUAAGAGUAUCUUUGAUUUAGCUAAACCCUUCGAUCUAUUAUGCCUAGGAAAACAUGAAAAUAUGAAUGAAUAUGUUUAAAUUGGUGAAUUACAUGGCUUAAAAUGUAAAUUGCUUCUUUUUUUUUAAUGCCAUUGACGGAGAUUCAAUAUAAUACUUUUAUUUUUUUCGAUGGAAUCGAAGAGUGAAAAAUAAUAAAUUUUUGAUAGAAUUUAUUCAAUUGGAAGAGUGAAAAGUCAGACAUUAUUGAUGGGAAGGCAUAAAGACAUAUGUUAUAGGAGGUUUUCCAAAGACUAAAUCUUCUUGCUAGAAACAGCUGAUGUUGAUAAAAAUGAUUUUUAAAUAUGAUUGCCAUCUGUUUUGGUGCCAUCUUUAUAACAGAAUAGCAAAUAUCUUGGUUGAAAUUAGGGGCCACUGUGAAUUUUAAUAGAUCAGAGCAUUUUGAACCCUGAACUGUCAUUGUUUGACCUCAAAUUUGAAAUCUGCCAAUUUUGUUCAGCUCUGCAGUCAAACUUUCCUUCAUUGGGAGGCAGGGGGGGGGAUGCAAACUGAAAAGCUCAUGUUUUGAUUUCAUUUAUCAAUCGUUAGUAACUUAAUAAUUUGCUGGUUUGAAUGGUCAACCCGUUUUAUUAGCUGUUGGCUCGAUUAUAUAUUAAUCAGCAAGGAUUGUUUUUAGAUUAGUAUCCUGUCAACAAUUAAUCUUACCAUUCUUAAGUAACAGCUGAUGUGCUAUGUUCAUAUACCUAUUGCAUUUGACUAUGUAGAAAUUCUGAUAUUUUGGUCUUAUAUUCAUCCAUAUGACAUGAACAAGUUUAGUUAGUUAAUUGAAUUAUGGUCUUUUACUGGAAUACCCGCAUUACAAUUGCCUUUGGAGCUUGUAUAACUCAAAAACAUAUCAACAUUCCUUUUUCUUGGAAGGGAAAAAGCUAGCAGAAAGACUUAUACGAAGUUCUUUAUGUCUAGCUCCUUAAUUUUUAAACAUAAACGAUUUAAAUUGUUUACUCAGUCAUAAGGCAACUUCAAAGUUGGAAAACCAAGGAACUUAAUGUAAUGAAUUUUACUACUUAUUAUCAAAAGUUAACACACAUAUAUAUGAAGUAUUUUUGUUUAUUAGUGAGUAAUUAUUUUUUUUUUGGUCUGUUACCUCUUGGUGGUCGGUAGCCACUUUGGGCUUCAAUUAAUCGAGAGUCGAGCCGGAUUGGAUAAGAGAGGUAAACUUUUACAGCGUUUGUUUUUUCUAUUCACAAGAUUGGAAAUUGAGAACUUACUUAAGAGGAACUAAACUCUUCAACCAUUUGGACCACCAGGCAUUGCAUAAUCUGCAUAGUCUUUUAUGCUGUCUAACUGGAAAUUUCUUUUCUAUGGUUUUUGCUAGGCUGUUUAUAGGUAUUCCUUGCUGUUAUUUUAUGUUAUGGCUUGUCUUUUCAGUUGUUUUUCAUAUUUGUUUUACUAGUUAUAGCUGUAUAAUUUUCCAAGUACCUAGUGUUUCUUACCCAUUUUUCCCCUUUCUCAUGCAGGUGGUGUUUAACCAUGAUGGUGAGAUUUAAAGUUCAGUAAUAUUUAUUUUCCUUGUAUUACUCGAAUUUGUAAAUCAUUUUGUAUGUAUGUUCUCAAUUCACCAAAUAAUUUACUUUUAAUCCUUCUAUAUGUAAUUUACAUACAAUUUAAAUAAAUCUUUAAUCUUUUUGAAAUGGAU